GCGGGGAGCCCGCCCGGCCCUCCCGGGAUGCGGCCGGCAGAGCCGCUCGGGCCCGGGGCAGCGCCUGCCGGACACCCCGGGCCGCUGAGGAGCUAGCAAAGACCACAUUCAACACCGCAGGCAGGAAAACCAUUCUUAGUUCCAGCUGGCUGGAAGGACUGGGGUGGAUUCCUUGGAGGGCAGAGGCCCCAAGGCAGCAUCCUGCCCAUCCACUCCACUGCAAGACAGCAGCAACACAGAGUACGUCACUGUCCCCCUCCAUGUGGUUUUGCUCUUUUUCCUAAUAAUCAAAAGCUUCAGACUCUUGACAUGGAGGAAAUGAUGGUGGAAACAAUCCUGGCCCCGUGGGAAAUCCUGCUGGUCAUUUUUGCUGCAGUGCUGGUAAUGAGUUUCCUGAUGCUGCUGCCCCCCGCUGCAGUGGUGAUCUGGAGAAUGAAGCGUGUGCCGCAGAUUUCACUGCAAGGCUCGGUGUGAGCCACUCCUGCUGCACCACCUGUGCCCUGAGGAUGGUUCACAAUGAUAACAUCUCUCAGGAUCACUCUCACUACCUGUGAUCCACCCAAAAACAGUGGGUCUACCAGUCUGUUGCUACUAAGUUCCUGUGGAAAGAGAACAUGUGUGAUUUUGUCGUCAUGAGCUGCAGCUCUCGGCACUUUGCCUUCCAUUUUUUGGCUGGGUUGUAAUUACUGUUGUUGGCUCAGUUCCUAGACUGAGUUCUUCUCCUGUGUUAUAAUGGACUGAAAGAGAAGCAAGGAUAAGGCAGCACUGUAUUCCCUUAAUUAAUAUCAGGAAAGCCUCCCUCUCUAUAGUUACACUGUAAAUAUUAGCUGACUGACAGGUGGACUUAUCAAAAGCAUGCAGGAUACUCUGGGGAGGCAGUAGUUUAGUCUGGUUGUAUUGCAAAACCUAAAAAAUAAAUAAAAUUUCAGAGAAAGGUACAAUAAAUAAAUCUACCCUUUUUCUGUUGUUUGAUCUGAAAACUUAAUGGUUAAAAAUGUUCUUAAGUUCUUCCCUUCUAUAUGAAUUUUCCUCUCUCCUCAACCCCCUAGUGCUGGAACAAAGCCUACCUCAUCCUGGCUUUAGAGCAGGAGCACGAGGAAUGGUCCAAUGCUCAGACAGGCCAGGCCAGACACCAACAAGAAGUUAAUGCAAACACACAGCAUCCAUUUACAUGAAUUAAAUUAUGCAAGUGUACUCUGGGAAAUAACAUGAUUAAAUUUACUUUAGGUUUUAACUGUGUCAUAUGG